GUCUUUUUGAGUUAUUUUUAAAGUCUGACCUGCCCACUGAAGUUUUUAAAUGGCCGCAGUAUUCUAACUGUGCAAAGGUAGCAUAAUCAUUAGUCUUUUAAUUGGAGGCUGGUAUGAACGGUUGGACGAGGUAUAUGCUGUUUCAUAUGAAUUUAUAGUAGAAUUUUAUUUUUUAGUUAAAAAGCUAAAAUAAUAUUAAAAGACGAGAAGACCCUAUAAAUCUUUAUAUUUAAUAUAAUUUAAAUUUUUUGGAUUGAUUUUAUUUUUAUUUUAUUAAGUAUUUCGUUGGGGUGAUGUUAAAAUUUAAUGAACUUUUAAUUUUUUAAAAUCAUUUAUUUAUGAGUUAUUGAUCCAUUAUUAUUGAUUAUAAGAUUAAGUUACUUUAGGGAUAACAGCGUGAUUUUUUUGGAGAGUUCAUAUCGAUAAAAAAGUUUGCGACCUCGAUGUUGGAUUAAGAUAUAUUUUUAGGUGUAGCUGCUUAAAUGUUAAGUCUGUUCGACUUUUAAAUUCUU
rnacentral:rRNA from 1 species